UACGUAGGGAGCGAGCGUUAUCCGGAUUUAUUGGGUGUAAAGGGUGCGUAGACGGGAAAAUAAGUUAGUUGUGAAAUCCCUCGGCUUAACUGAGGAACUGCAACUAAAACUGAUUUUCUUGAGUACUGGAGAGGAAAGUGGAAUUCCUAGUGUAGCGGUGAAAUGCGUAGAUAUACGGAGGAACACCAGUGGCGAAGGCGGCCUGCUGGACAUUAACUGACGCUGAGGCGCGAAAGCGUGGGGAGCAAACAGG
rnacentral:rRNA from 1 species